ensembl:lncRNA
GUGACCUUCUAGCAAAAGACUGUAUCAACAAGCUAACUGACAAGACCAGUACAGUUCAAUUCAUUGCCUUCCUUCCAUGCCUUAGAUAAUUUGUGUAGACAUAAUACAGUGGUGCAAUGUUUGUUCUGUGAUCUUCUGGAUAUCAGAUUAGCCUCUCAGUGCUUGGAAGGCCUGUUCCUGGAGGAACCACCAAAGUGAACCUGCUAAUCUCUGAUACGCCGGCAUCCUGAUAGAACCAGCAGAACCUCGUGGAGCUGCCGUGGGACAAGCCAAGACAACGAUCUGAGGAGGACAUGUUUAAGAGUGGACCGUGCGGAUCUUCUCGCAUGAGCGUGCAUGGGGCUUCCCACUGUCCUGCCUGUGCUCCUGGGCAAUGUGCUCCAAGGGGCUUCUCUGAGAAGGUGCUGCGCGAAGGCCGUGGCAGGAGGGCGUCCAAGGGCAGCUGUUGGCCUUCCACGUCAGACUGCUGAGCACCACAGAGUUAGAAGUUACAAGUGCGGAACAGGAGUUUAUGCAUGCCGUGGUAAUCCUGGUUCACACAUGGGGGGAUCCUGCCUUCGACCAUCCUGGGAGGCAGGAAUCUGGAUAUGCCCAGCGUGGAAGGAAUCAAAAUUAUUCUGCCUGAGAGUCGGAAGCAGGAGACUGCGCUGUCAAAAUGCACAAUGGGGAGAAACCUGGGGGAAGAAGAAUAUAAACAGGACUAUUCCUAGCCUGAAUAAAAGGGUCACAUGGAAAGGGCAGCAUCUGCUCCUCCCGGCUGAGAUGGGGGCCUGUGCAGGGCUGCCUGGUGAGGCAGGUGCAGAGCACAAUGGAGAGGGAGCGUUUCACCCCAGCAGCAAACCGGCCUUGCUGCGUCUCUGCUGA